AUCCCCUCUGCCUGGGGUAUUUCUUUUCCCUGGGUAUUCUGAGAUAGAUGUAUCUAGACAAGGAUUUUGUGAAUUUGGGAGCUCCUAUUAUCCCACCAUUGGGAAAUAACCACAGUUACUUUGAGAUGGGUGUGUCUAGGUGAAGACCUUGUGAGCACUAUCGGGCCUUCAGAGAACUGAGAGUUCAGCUGGUAUCUUUCUUUCCCUUUCCUGAAACUCGAGGGGGAGAGAGUAUCAGAAGCAACAGUGCAAAGUUUUCAGUAGAAAAAUGGCUUAUCAUAGCAGAGGAAUAGGCUGGAUCACAGAUCUUUCCAGUAAGAAAGUCAUACUCUUUGUGGAGUCAGCUUAGCUGAGCAUGGCAGCUUCUCAUCCAUCACCAGCUCCAUAUCCUGCAAUGAACUCAUUGAGAACUCUCCAAAAGAAAAAAAGUAUCCAUGAUGGGAGAGACAAGGGGAAGGAAAAAACAACAUCCAGCUUUGUAAAUGUCUUCAGAGAUGAGAAGAGCUAUGUGUACACCUCUGCUUGACAAGGAGCCUGCCUGCACCUUCGUGCUGACUCUGCAGAACCAAUACAGACCAUUCGUGCCCAGGGAAGAAAUCAUCAGAGACAUAUUGGGAGGUGCGGUUGGGGGGGGGGGGGGGGGGGGGGGAGGACUGGGAGAAGAAGGACAUUCUUCACCAAGAAUUCAUCCAGUCCCUUCUAGCUCUUGAGCUUUUUUUCUAUAGACCACAUUCAGCUUCCCAUCCCAGUCCUGCUUCAUCAUGUAUAGCUUCCCAGCCAUUUCCCAUCUUUUUCCAGGUCUGCCAUCCUGUGCUCAGACCUGUACAGCUGCAAAUAAGAGAAUUGCCGAGCUUGGUCAUCUUCCUACCUAGUUAUCCUCCUCCAUCCUAUGAUUAUCUUCUCCUGUUUCCAGUAAUCAGGACAUUCUCUUUUAGAUGGUGAACAAACAAAGCAAAGGGCAAGGGUAAAUUCUUAGCUCUUACCAAUGAUGAGAAAAAAAGAGAAUAGGUGGGGAAAAAGGGGAAGGGAGAGAAGAGAGAAAAGGAGGAGAGAGGAGUGAAGGGAAUAAAAGGAAUUAGGGGGAAGGAGAAAGAAUGAGCAGAUUUAAGAGCGGAGAGGGAAGGAGAGAGGGGAUGGAAGGGGAGUAGUUUCAUAGGAAGGAAAGGUUAAGGAAAGAGCAGUUUCAAAGGUGAGAGGUGGAGAGGAAGCAGCUUCAUAGAGGAGGGGACAGAGAGAAGGAGCAGCUUCAUCAGGGAAAGGCGGGGGAGAAGGAGCAGCUUCAUAGGAGACGGGAAGGGAAAGAGUGGCUUUCAUAGGAGAGGGAGAAAGCCGCUUCAUAGCGGAAGAGAGGAGGGAAGGGAUUAUCUUCGUAGGAGAGGGAAGAUAGGGAAUAAUUUCACACUGGAAGGGAAGAAAAGAUUGGGUUCAUGCUUUCUUCCACACACCUCUAGAAUUGAAUGUGUAUUGAAGAUUGCCUCCAGAAUUUUCUCAACAUUCUUCCAGAUGUCGUGCCUGAUAUCCUAUUACGAGAUUGAUCUUCCUAUUUUUUGUAGAGAGCUUGUAUCACAUCGUAAUUUGGCAUCCUUUAAAUAGCCACAGAUUCAAACUGGGAAUCUGGCUUUAUAAGACGAUAACUAAAAGAAUUUUAACUCCUGCAGAGAUCUCUGUUGCUUUCUGUCGGCUCUCAAGCUGUUUCCUGUGCCCAGAAUCUUCCUAAUAGUAAGCUCUCUCAGGGCAGGGUCAUUCUGUUACUGAAACAUGCCUCACUGCGUCCGGUCUGGAUUCUGCACUGUGGAUGCUCAAUAAAUGCUGUUGUUGGUACUGUUUGACUGACAAGCAGUGGAAUGGAAAGGAGUCAAGGAGAGCUCUUUCCGGGUUGAGUUAAAAAAAAAAAAGCCCACUUAUUUUCCGAAAGGAGGUGGGUGGGAAGGAUCGUAGGAGAGAGAGGAAAGGAAUUAAAAAUCCUGAAGCUGGCAGGAAGCGUUCCACUUUGAUCCACUCCUUCUGGGCAAAUCCAUUCAUUUUAAGUGAAGCCAAGGCGGGCCCCCAUCCGUGUCUCACCCCAAUCUGGAGAGCUUGGAAGCCCAGGGAGUGAGGCUUGGGAAAUGAGCGAAGUGGUCAGACUGGUUUCUAGAACCAAGCACAGGAUCAACAUGGGCUGGGAAUCAUUAGCUUUGGAGUGCAGAGCCCUAGAGGCUCAGAACGGCUGGGGGUGAUUAGAACCUGCCUCUUGUAGGGUUGGGGUUGGGGGGCGAUACUGGGAAGAGCAGGUAGAGAAAAGGAGAAGGGAAGAUGUCAGGCAUACCGGAGCGUCUUGGAGAAUAAGUAUUUACAUUUUGUAAAAGUACAGAAUGAGACCCCGCUUCUUGCUGAGGGAGGAAGGUUUCUGAUUCAUCUUCCUUCGCUCAGAGUUAAGCACGUUGAUAAUGGAGGUACCAUUGGAGGAAUGGGGAUAUGGCUUCGAUCUGGGGUGGCUUCUGGGGCUGGGAUUUGUCCCUGAAAGAAAUGCUGUUGGAAUAAAUGGAUUCAAAUGGAUUCCGGGAGUCUUCCUGGACAAACGGAAAGAGAGCCACGUGUUCCCACCUUGGCCAAGCCCUUCCCCAAGACUGCAGACGGGAGUGCUAUGUGUUGGGGAAUGAGAACUGUGAAUGGGGGUGGGGAGGCAGUCCCACCUCUUUCUAGUCUCCCAUCAUCGCUCCUGGGACACUCCAAAAACCACCGGGUCUACACUCACUCGC
ensembl:lncRNA